UAACCUACCCAUCAGAGGGGGAUAACACUUGGAAACAGGUGCUAAUACCGCAUAACAGUUUAUGCCGCAUGGCAUAAGAGUGAAAGGCGCUUUCGGGCGUCGCUGAUGGAUGGACCCGCGGUGCAUUAGCUAGUUGGUGAGGUAACGGCUCACCAAGGCCACGAUGCAUAGCCGACCUGAGAGGGUGAUCGGCCACACUGGGACUGAGACACGGCCCAG
rnacentral:rRNA from 1 species